rnacentral:rRNA from 1 species
UACGUAGGGGGCGAGCGUUGUUCGGAAUCACUGGGCGUAAAGGGCGCGUAGGCGGCUGGGGAAGUCGGUGGUGAAAGCUCGUGGCUCAACUACGAGUCGGCCAACGAUACUCCUCGGCUCGAGCACUGUAGAGGCAGGUGGAAUUCCGGGUGUAGCGGUGAAAUGCGCAGAUAUCAGGAGGAACACCGGUGGCGAAGGCGGAUCUCUGGGCCGUUACCUGACGCUCAGGCGCGAAAGCUAGGGGAGCGAACUGG